rnacentral:rRNA from 1 species
UACGUAGGGGGCAAGCGUUGUCCGGAAUCAUUGGGCGUAAAGCGCGUGUAGGCGGCUCGAUAAGUCUGCUGUGAAAGUCCAAGGCUCAACCUUGGGAUGCCGGUGGAUACUGUCGAGCUCGAGUCCGGAAGAGGAGUGUGGAAUUCCUGGUGUAGCGGUGAAAUGCGCAGAUAUCAGGAAGAACACCCGUGGCGAAGGCGGUCUCUGGGACGGUACUGACGCUGGAGACGCGAAAGCGUGGGGAGCGAACAGG